rnacentral:rRNA from 1 species
UACGAAGGGGGCUAGCGUUGCUCGGAAUUACUGGGCGUAAAGCGCACGUAGGCGGCUUCUUAAGUCGGAGGUGAAAUCCUGGAGCUCAACUCCAGAACUGCCUUCGAUACUGGGAAGCUCGAGUCCGGGAGAGGUGAGUGGAACUGUGAGUGUAGAGGUGAAAUUCGUAGAUAUUCGCAAGAACACCAGUGGCGAAGGCGGCUCACUGGCCCGGUACUGACGCUGAGGUGCGAAAGCGUGGGGAGCAAACAGG